rnacentral:misc_RNA from 1 species
GCUUGUUCGAUCAUGUCAAGUUGCAUAUACUGGCUGUAACGUCUUGGAAAUUUUCUUCGAUUAAUGAAUCCUCAUUAUUGUUAUGCUGUUUGGACUUCUGCUGAUAUAAUGAACCCACACUUGCAUGGGGGUCCAGGCAAGAUAUGCCAGAGGUAUUAGGUAAUAGAUGUAGUCAAAAGCUUAUGGCAAUAAACAUGAUAUUAU